rnacentral:rRNA from 1 species
UACGGAGGGACUAGCGUUGUUCGGAAUUACUGGGCGUAAAGCGCACGUAGGCGGAUCUUUAAGUCAGGGGUGAAAUCCUGGAGCUCAACUCCAGAACUGCCUUUGAUACUGGGGAUCUCGAGUCCGGGAGAGGUGAGUGGAACUCCGAGUGUAGAGGUGAAAUUCGUAGAUAUUCGGAAGAACACCAGUGGCGAAGGCGGCUCACUGGCCCGGUACUGACGCUGAGGUGCGAAAGCGUGGGAGCAACAGG